ensembl:lncRNA
GCAGGAAGGUAAACACCUGCUAGUCACUCCAACAUAACUGUGAGGCAUUUCUCUGGGGUCAACACUCUGUCUAGGUCAGAGUGACCAAAUAAUGACCUCUCACUGCCGUGACAUCUUGCACAUCUCUCUGGUGUUUUCUACCUCCAGACCAACAGCGGAUUUGUGAGAGGCUUCUGGACUUGCUGACUGUCAGAGAUCUCAAGAAGAACAUGCCGUUCUAAAUGAUGUCAUCGACUUGUCAACAAGCAUUAAAUCGUACAAGAAGAAGAAGAAGAAAUGACGUCAUCCUCCAGGAAGUGACAUCAUCAAUUUGGAGGGAAAUCAACAGCACAAACAACAAGACGCGGGAUCAUUAGAGACUGUGAAUAACUGAUGUGUCUUGCUGCCUCUGGUCAUCUGCCAUCACUCAAGCAGCAUUUAAUUCUCUUCUGCUCUCUUUCUCUCUCUCUCUGUCUGUCUCUGUUUGUUUAGUGGUGCAGAGAAAGUUUGCUGAAUAUGUGAAUGAUGUAGAAACCGCUGUUUCAUCAAACUAAAAAGUUUGAUUAUGAAUAUGAUUAAGACAUUUUGCAUGGGUUCAUGGAUAUUUAUUAGGUUGUCAAUCGAUUAAAAUGAAAUGAAGAUAACAUAAUAAAUCUAGCAUUGUUGUAGCA